rnacentral:rRNA from 1 species
UACGGAAGGCAGCAGUGGGGAAUAUUGCACAAUGGGCGCAAGCCUGAUGCAGCCAUGCCGCGUGUAUGAAGAAGGCCUUCGGGUUGUAAAGUACUUUCAGUCGUGAGGAAGGUGUUAAGGUUAAUAACCUUAGCAAUUGACGUUAGCGACAGAAGAAGCACCGGCUAACUCCGUGCCAGCAGCCGCGGUAAUACGGAGGGUGCGAGCGUUAAUCGGAAUUACUGGGCGUAAAGGGCACGCAGGCGGUUAAUUAAGUUGGAUGUGAAAUCCCCGGGCUUAACCUGGGAAUGGCAUUCAAGCUGGUUAGCUAGAGUCUUGUAGAGGGGGUAGAAUUCCGAUGUGUAGCGGUGAAAUGCGUAGAGAUGUGGAGGAAUACCGGUGGCGAAGGCGGCCCCUGGACAAGACUGACGCUCAUGUGCGAAGCGUGGGGAGCAAACGAGGGAUUAGAUACC